CCUACGGGAGGCAGCAGUGGGGAAUAUUGGUCAAUGGGCGCAAGCCUGACCCAGCAACGCCGCGUGAAGGAAGAAGGCUUUCGGGUUGUAAACUUCUUUUAAGGGGGAAGAGCAGAAGACGGUACCCCUUGAAUAAGCCACGGCUAACUACGUGCCAGCAGCCGCGGUAAUACGUAGGUGGCAAGCGUUGUCCGGAUUUACGUGGUGUAAAGGGCGUGCAGCCGGAGAGACAAGUCAGAUGUGAAAUACACGGGAUCAACACGUGAACUGCAUUUGAAACUUGUUCCCUUGAGUGGCGGAGAGAUAAUCGGAAUUCCUUGUGGAGCGGUGAAAUGCGUAGAUAUAAGGAAGAACACCAGUGGCGAAGGCGGAUUACUGGACGAUAACUGACGGUGAGGCGCGAAAGCGUGGGGAGCAAACAGGAUUAGAUACCCCUGGUAGUC
rnacentral:rRNA from 1 species